rnacentral:rRNA from 1 species
AUUCUGGCUCAGGAUGAACGCUGGCGGCGUGCUUAACACAUGCAAGUCGAACGGGAUCCCAGGAGCUUGCUCCUGGGUGAGAGUGGCGAACGGGUGAGUAAUGCGUGACCGACCUGCCCCAUACACCGGAAUAGCUCCUGGAAACGGGUGGUAAUGCCGGAUGCUCCAGUUGGAUGCAUGUCCUUCUGGGAAAGAUUCAUCGGUAUGGGAUGGGGUCGCGUCCUAUCAGCUUGAUGGCGGGGUAACGGCCCACCAUGGCUUCGACGGGUAGCCGGCCUGAGAGGGCGACCGGCCACAUUGGGACUGAGAUACGGCCCAGACUCCUACGGGAGGCAGCAGUGGGGAAUAUUGCACAAUGGGCGCAAGCCUGAUGCAGCGACGCCGCGUGCGGGAUGACGGCCUUCGGGUUGUAAACCGCUUUUGACUGGGAGCAAGCCCUUCGGGGUGAGUGUACCUUUCGAAUAAGCACCGGCUAACUACGUGCCAGCAGCCGCGGUAAUACGUAGGGGGCAAGCGUUAUCCGGAAUUAUUGGGCGUAAAGGGCUCGUAGGCGGUUCGUCGCGUCCGGUGUGAAAGUCCAUCGCUUAACGGUGGAUCCGCGCCGGGUACGGGCGGGCUUGAGUGCGGUAGGGGAGACUGGAAUUCCCGGUGUAACGGUGGAAUGUGUAGAUAUCGGGAAGAACACCAAUGGCGAAGGCAGGUCUCUGGGCCGUCACUGACGCUGAGGAGCGAAAGCGUGGGGAGCGAACAGGAUUAGAUACCCUGGUAGUCCACGCCGUAAACGGUGGAUGCUGGAUGUGGGGACCAUUCCACGGUCUCCGUGUCGGAGCCAACGCGUUAAGCAUCCCGCCUGGGGAGUACGGCCGCAAGGCUAAAACUCAAAGAAAUUGACGGGGGCCCGCACAAGCGGCGGAGCAUGCGGAUUAAUUCGAUGCAACGCGAAGAACCUUACCUGGGCUUGACAUGUUCCCGACAGCCCCAGAGAUGGGGCCUCCCUUCGGGGCGGGUUCACAGGUGGUGCAUGGUCGUCGUCAGCUCGUGUCGUGAGAUGUUGGGUUAAGUCCCGCAACGAGCGCAACCCU